GUCACAACGUGUUCUAAGAUUUUUAGUUCUUUUUACUUUCGGACUUUGUUGGAAAAACAUGGCUAAAAGGAGGAUUCUAUCAUUAGGCCAGCAGUCCUUAAGAGACAAUAUUUACUGAGGAAUCACGAAGAGACUUCUGCGAAGGAAAGAUUUUUUUUUUGGACGAAUUACUUUUUUGGAACAUGAAGAAGGAACUUUUGAUGGAAUGCGAGUACUUAGUAGCUGAAAAUAAUAUUUGCAUAUGUUGAACAAGUCUCAAACACAAAUGGGCAUGAACACGAAGAAAUAGUUAUCGUACAAGGAGCAGUCUUUUCUUCAUUUAUAGUAAUAAUUAUAAUAAAAAUAUAAUGUAUUCUUGCAUAUUUUCUAUUUAAGUUUAAUAUGACAUAU